GGGGGGGGGGGGGGGGGGGGGCUGAUGGAUUGUUAUUUGGCAUGAGGUUUUUACCCUGCAUGAUUGUUUGGCCUUUUAUGGCUCAGUGGUGUGUGUGAUUGGGUUUGACAUGAGAUGGAUGUUUUUUCAUCGCUAGGGUUCUACUGUGUGUGGGUGUGUCUCCCACUCACCCCUGGCAUGGGGUUUUACGUGCCUGUCCAGGGUUCUAUGUGUGUGGCUUGCUUUGACAGUGAUAAUGUUCAUACGGGGGUUUGUGUGAUUUGCUUGGGAUAUUGGAAUGGGCAACUAAAUCAUACCUGAUGGACGGCCACACGUUUACUUAAGGGCCUCCAGUAGACAUGAAGAGCCCUGAGCGAUGCUCCGGAGAAAGAUCCAACACACUGGGCAGGAAGGAGAGUAUCCAAAUCAAGGGUAAAAGGAUGCAAGCGGCGUGUUCAGAUCAGUGACUUCAAACUAGGACUACACCAAUCAGGAUCACUGGAGGAUGGACACCAAAAGGAAUUCCACAAGGAGAGUCUGACGUUGGAAAGGGACCUAAAUGGAUAUUCAAGAUGACCGUCAGACCUGUAAUGAGACGGCUCUUCCUACCAGCCUGGAUUGAUGGAGAGCCCUGUGGAUCUUGUCUUGCUCUCAGUUGCACGUCUUCUCAGGCUGAACUCUAAUUGUCUCGGACAGGACUAGCUGAACGAUUGGUUCCCUUAAAUCAGAACCAAUCCGGGAACUCCAGCUAGUGCGCUCUUCGAGCUGAAGUUGUGCUCUUCAGCUGAGGAGGUAAGGAAACCUUCACUGGGGCUUCAAGAUGUAAAGAGGAGAAUGUUUCAAAGUGUUCCAUGGUACUCUGAUGAAGACCGUUGGUGUGUUCCACUAGCUGAGAGGAAGAACCCACACAUCUUCCUCUUGGCCUUUCUCCUCUCAGAAUCCUGGCGCCAUCUUGAAGGAUAUUCCAGCUCAUGUAACUGAUGUCACGACAGAUUCACAAACACUUGGUUUCUCCUGAGGGGCGUUUCUAUAGAACUGAAGACUUCAGACAGCACUGUAUCCCAGCAUGCAUCUCUGCUCACUCAGACUACACCCCCAUGAGUAGGAUGCAACACUCUAGUGAUGGAGAUGUAGUGUUUUAUAAGUAACGAGGGAGCAGACUAAGGGGAUUAGAACACAAUGGCAUGUCAAGUCUGUAAAUCUUUAAACCAUGAAGAUGGUUGGAAAAGUCAGGAAUUGGGCUUAUUUUUAAUAUGGGCAGUCCUUUCACUCGGAUGCUCACUUCUCACUGGAAAUGUAAAUGCGUUGGCUGGCUGGCAUGAUUUGCUGUUGGUGAUGAGGUGGUCAGGGUGACGUUGCAGGGCUAUGGUCGGCUCUCUGUGAGCUCAACGUUUAGAUUUUCUCUAUGGUUUGGACCCUGAAUAAUCUAGAUAAUUGUAAAAUGUAGACACGGUUUAAAGUUGUUGUACAUGGUAGUUUAGUUCUUCGUAUGGUUUUGAGUGAUUAUAACUUGUACACACUGGGUGCAUAAUGUAAUGAUACACUGAAUAGUAUUAAUGACCAACAGCAACAAACAGAUCUCCUCAAGGUAAGUCUGUUGGCUGUAUUUUAAUUAAGACCAUCGCUGGACUUCAGGAUCUUCCUCCGUUCAGCUCAAGGUGAGGCGCUGGUUAUUUUUCUUUGGUUGGUUCCGGCCGGAAUGUUCGGAUUCCAGUCGGACGGUUUGUGCUUCCCGCCGUGGAAGGUUCUGAGUGCGGUCACUUGAUUUAGUCCCAAUGGUUAGCAUAGAAAGUUGUAUUCUUGACAACCAUAAGAAACCACCUGGCAGUUAGUUGGACGGGAGUCCCCUAAGGGAAUCUGGCAGAACGUUCUGGAUUGUAUUUGCGUAACCUCGAGCCGUUGGCAACGGAAACUAUUUUUCAGUCGGUUUCCAUUGGGAAUUGUUGCCCUCUAUCUCAAACAACUUAAUUUCCGAUGGUUGCGCCGUACUUUUAACCACGUUGACGGGACUCUCGCUGCGUACAAAACGGCGUUCUACUUGCGGCCCAAUUUUUGACAUCGGUGAAGGCUGAAAAUCAUUUCAAGGUGGAAGACAAUUUGACAUUUCUUCAAAGGAACCCAGCACCUGAAUAUGAGUUGAGUAAAUUUGAUUUAAUAUUGAUACUGCUUAGUGUUCAUUGUUACUUCACCUUUUGUACGUUCUAAAUACAUGUUGUCAUUAAUUGCCACAGAACUUUGCCACCCAGAGCAAGACCUCCACCUCCUUACCCAGAGCCAGACCUUCACCUCCUGUCAGAAGUCCUCCAGAACAGCACAAAGGUGAGGCUGAGAGGCUUGGGACCGGAGGCUUGUGGUGCCAGGAUGGACCGGAGACUGAGGCUGGAGACCAGGGGCCUGCAGCACCGGACCAGAGGACCAGGAAUCCAUGGCUGAAGGAGCUGAUGGAGGAGCCGCGCUGAAGGCCCUGCCUGGUGGAGGAGCCAUGCUGAAGACCCUGCCUGGUGGAGGAGCCAUGCUGGAGGCCCUGCCUGGUGGAGGAGCUGACGGAGGCCCUGCCUGUUGGAGGAUGUCUGUCGUGGGACCAGGACUCUGUCUGAGGAGAGCAGUUGGAGGAGCUGAGACGCUGGAGGACAACUGGGACUCGACCAAAAAGGAUUCCUCAACCCUUUCUGGAGUGGAAGCAAGCUGGUAGGGGAGCCGUGAAUCUGGAGGAUGACCAUCACUCUACCAACAAGGAUUACGUUGGGGCCAGACUUGCGCUGUUUGUUCCAGACCAGGACUCUGGCUGAGGAGCGCUAAUGGAGGAGCCAAGACUCUGGAGGACGACAUCACUCUACCAACAAAGAUCCUCACCAGGAAUCUGGAGGACUGACGGAGAAGCCGUACAUCUGGAAGGCAAAUCCUGAGGACGAUCAGGACUCUACCAUCAAGGUUUCCUCACACAGCUGAGCUGAACCUCACCUGAUCCUGAUUGGUCGGAGGCAGGCACACCUGAGCUGAACCCCACCUGAUCCGGACAUCCUGCUGGUCCCGUCUCCUCAGUUCAUCUGAGCCUCUUCCUCCAGAAGACCUGCUGAGCUCAGCGGUCUGAGGCUGAUGUAUCAAUGACCUCCAGUGGGAGUGAUCUUCUUGACCCCACAUGUAGCCGUGUGCUUCCACACGCCUUUCCCUCACGUCUGUCACUAACCUCAUUACUUCACUACUCUCUACUCCUUCCCCUUUUCUUCCUUCUCCGUGGUUCGAACAUUUACUCUGAAGGAGUGCCUCCUUGAACCUUUACACUGAAGGAGCGUCUUCCUGUCCUCAGAGGGUUCAGCGUUAGGGUUGAGAGUCAGGGUUUAGAGUCAGGGACAGAGCUGGUCAGGGAGGGCUGUUUUAACAUAAACCUUUUCUCUUGCUUUCUGAAUGGUGGUGACAUUUUGAAAAGAUUAAUUUGGGAAAGUGUUUCCUCUGCUUUCCUUUACAAAAAUAUCUUUUAAACUUCUGUGUUUGUAACCAGACCAGGUAUCCAUGGCUGAAGGAGCUGAUGGAGGAGCCGUGUUGAAGUUCCUGCCUGGGGGAUGAGCCGUGCUGAAGGCCCUGCCUGGUGGAGGAGCUGAUGGAGGCCCUGCCUGGUGGAGGAUGUCUGUCGUGGGACCAGGACUCUGUCUGAGGAGAGCAGAUGGAGGAGCUGAGACGCUGGAGGACAACUAGGAAUCGACCAAAAAGGAUUCCUCAACCCUUUCUGGAGUGGAAGCAAGCUGGUAGGGGAGCCGUGAAUCUGGAGGAUGACCAUCACUCUACCAACAAGGAUUACGUUGGGGCCAGACUUGCGCUGUUUGUUCCAGACCAGGACUCUGGCUGAGGAGUGCUGAUGGAGGAGCCAAGACUCUGGAGGACGACAUCACUCUACCAACAAAGAUCCUCAGACAAAUUACAUUUGUAACCAGACCAGGAAUCUGGAGGACUGACGGAGAAGCCGUACAUCUGGAAGGCAAAUCCUGAGGACGACCAGGACUCUACCAUCAAGGAUUCCUCACACACCUGAGCUGAACCUUACCUGAUCCUGUUUGGUCGGGGGAAGACGCACCUGAGCUGAACCUCACCUGAUUGGUCGGGGGCAGACUCACCUGAGCUGAACCUCACCUGAUCCUGUUUGGUGGGGGGCAGACUCACCUGAGCUGAACCCCACCUGAUCCGGACAUCCUGCUGGUCCCGUCUCCUCAGUUCAUCUGAGCCUCUUCCUCCAGAAGACCUGCUGAGCUCAGCGAUCUGAGGCUGAUGUAUCAAUGACCUCCAGUGGGAGUGAUCUUCUUGACCCCACAUGUAGCCGUGUGCUUCCACACGCCUUUCCCUCACGUCUGUCACUAACCUCACUACUUCACUACUCUCUACUGCUUCCUCUUUUCUUCCUUCUCUGUGGUUCAAACCUUUAUACUGAAGGCGCGUCUUCCUGCCCUCAGAGGGUUUAGCGUUAGGGUUGAGAGUCAGGGUUUAGAGUUAGGGACAGAGCUGGUCAGGGAGGACUGCUUUUACACAAACCUCUUCACUUGCUUUCGGAAUGGUGGUGACAUUUUGAAAAGAUUAAUUUGGGAAAAUGUUUUCCUCUGCUUUCCUUUACAAAUUGUAUUCAACUUCUGUCAAGUGUUUUUGUUUAUAUAUUAAAAUCCCAC